AUACAGAGGGUGCGAGCGUUGUCCGGAAUCACUGGGCGUAAAGGGCGCGUAGGUGGCGGCCCAAGUCCAUGGUGAAAGCUCGAUGCUCAACAUCGAGUCGGCCACGGAUACUGGGUUGCUCGAGCACUGUAGAGGCAGAUGGAAUUCCGGGUGUAGCGGUGGAAUGCGUAGAGAUCCGGAAGAACACCGGUGGCGAAGGCGGUCUGCUGGGCAGUAGCUGACACUGAGGCGCGACAGCGUGGGGAGCAAACA
rnacentral:rRNA from 1 species